rnacentral:rRNA from 1 species
UAUUUUGACUAUACAAAGGUAUUGAAAUAAGACUUUAAUUGAGUGCUAAGAGAAUGGAAUUUCAUAAAAUUUCUUUUUUAAUUUUAAAAAUUGAAAUUAAUUUUAUAUGUGAAGAAACAAUAAUAAAAAUUAAGGACAAGAAGACCCUAAGAAUUUUAAAAAUUUCAAUAUAAUAUAAUAUUAUAUUGAAAUUUUUUAAUUGGGGCGAUUAUUAAAUAUUAAAAACUUUAAUUUUUUUAAAAAAGAACCAAUAUUAUUGGUUAUUUGAGAAAAUACUCUAGGGAUAACAGCGUAAUAAUUUUUGAUAGUUCUUAUAGACAAAAUAGUUUGCGACCUCGAUGUUGGAUUAGGAUUCUUUUUUAAUGAAGAAGUUAAAAAAAGAAGUUUGUUCAACUUUUAAAAUCCU